rnacentral:rRNA from 1 species
GAAACUACGCCUACAUGAAGCUGGAGUUACUAGUAAUCGCAGAUCAGAAUGCUGCGGUGAAUGCGUUCCCGGGUCUUGUACACACCGCCCGUCACACCACGGAAGUUGGGGCGCCCGAAGCCACUUAGCUAACCCUUUUGGGAAGCGAGUGUCGAAGGUGAAAUCAAUAACUGGGGUGAAGUCGUAACAAGGUAAC